rnacentral:rRNA from 1 species
UACGUAGGGGGCUAGCGUUGUCCGGAAUCAUUGGGCGUAAAGUGCGUGUAGGCGGUCCGGUAAGUCCGCUGUGAAAGUCGAGGGCUCAACCCUCGAAUGCCGGUGGAUACUGUCGGGCUUGAGUACGGGAGAGGCGAGUGGAAUUCCCGGUGUAGCGGUGAAAUGCGCAGAUAUCGGGAGGAACACCAAUGGCGAAGGCAGCUCGCUGGGACGUGACUGACGCUGAGACGCGAAAGCGUGGGGAGCAAACAGG